GGGGCUGACUGGCUUUGACAGCGCGUAGAGGUGGUGUGUAAGCAUGCAGAGCAAUGAUGGCUACGCUCUAUAAUAUGGGACAUCAAAAUUUCAAAUGGCGAAAACAACUACGCUCUUGCUGCUUAAUUGAAGUAUAGUAGAUUAGCUUAAUCUUCGCAACAGUUGCGAAGACAAGACAUCGCUCGAUUGUCGUCGUCCCGAGACUAAUCGGUCAAGCGGUGCAGGUAAAUCGGGAAUAGGGAGCUGAUAGCCUCGGGAGGCUCCCGAAAAUUUAGAGGAUAAGGCUGUGGUUGGUAGUCUUUAGCCUGCUGCAGCACGAAAACCAAGUAAAGACUAAGCAUGUAGAAAGCGCAUUAGUUCCGCGUUUGGACGAGGGUUCGACUCCCUCCAGCUCCACUU
rnacentral:tmRNA from 1 species